AAGUUGUAACAAGGUUUCCGUAGAUGAACCUGCGGAAGGAUCAUUACUAUUAAAUGACUAGCAUACAUUACAAGCGUUCAAAUCCUUUCAAACCCAUUCUGCGUGCAUAAUUUCCGCGUUGCUUUUGCAGAUGAAUUCUUUUAAUCUGCGAAAGGUUAUGGAUUAUCAAAUUUGUUGUUUUCACAUCUAUCUUACUACCGAAACAUACAAAACAAAAAAAACAUUUAAAAACUUUCAACAAUGGAUCCCUUGGUUCUC
rnacentral:misc_RNA from 1 species